rnacentral:rRNA from 1 species
UAAUACGUAGGGACCAAGCGUUGUUCGGAUUUACUGGGCGUAAAGGGCGCGUAGGCGGCGUGUUAAGUCACUUGUGAAAUCUCUAAGCUUAACUUAGAACGGUCAAGUGAUACUGAUGUGCUAGAGUGCGGAAGGGGCAACCGGAAUUCUUGGUGUAGCGGUGAAAUGCGUAGAUAUCAAGAGGAACACCUGAGGUGAAGACGGGCUGCUGGGCUGACACUGACGCUGAGGCGCGAAAGCUAGGGUAGCAAACGGGAUUAGAUACCCCGGUAGUCCUAGCCCUAAACGAUGAAUACUUGGUGUCUGGAGUUCUUUUCUCCGGGUGCCGUCGCUAACGUUUUUAGUAUUCCGCCUGGGGAGUACGCACGCAAGUGU